rnacentral:lncRNA from 1 species
CGGGGCCGGCGCGCGUCGCGGUCGGGCGCGAGUCGGACUGGGCCGGUUCGGCCCAAAGUGGCUGGGCCGGUCCGGUUUACCCCCUUUUUUUUCUUUUUGCCUUUUCUUUUUCUCUUUCUCUCAUUUCUUUGAUAUCUUUUGAAUUUGAACUCCAAAUUGGUCCAAAUAAAUCCCAGAAAAUUUGUAAAAUCAUGUUCUACCAAGAUACAACUUUUGGGAGUAGUUUCCCCUCAAAAUAAAAUAUAUAAAAAUAAAUUUGCCCUAUAAAUGCCUUUAGGGCUAUAUAUCUAUUUGAAUAAAAUACUUUUUCAACUCCAAAUAAUUAACCAUAAAUUAUGGGAUAGCUUAUAUAUGCAUUAAACCCCUUUUAUACAUAAACCCAAUUGAUUUGAAAAUCGAAAGCUUAAAUGGGUGUAAACAAAGUCUUUUAGAGCCCUCUUGAGAUUCAAAAUUUGAAUUCAAAUAUGCAAUUGUGGCAUGAUGCUCAUGGAUGCAAUGCACAUGUAAAAGUUUGAAAUUUUGGGAUGUUACAGAUGUGCGGAAGAAACCCAAGAUCAUAUCUAGUAGAUGUAAGUAACGAGAGGGAUAAUGAGCAUCAUACCCUCUUAGACCACAAAGCGUUACGAUCACGGGAUCGUUGUUGGCGUAGUGGUACUUUCGAUG